CUGGCUCCGGGGCGGCCUGCGGAGGGGGCUGCCGCUGGCCGCACAGUUCAGUGCUAGUGACCAAGCGACAGGACGCAGGAAAGCAGAGCAACUUUCUCAGUGUCUUCCCUUCGUCCAGAGUCAGGCUGCAGUGGCUAAGGCAGGGACCUCUGAGACUGACUUCAGCAUAAGCCGGGUCAUCCACGGGGACUGGCACCCCGGCCGAAGAGCUCAAAGGGCUUUCAAGAAAACCCGGGACCUGAUGUCUAAGACAGCAGGGGCCCCGCUGUCGUGGCCCUGCUGAAGGGACGAGGAGUUUUUAUUGAACCCUGUGGACAUUUUCUCAGGGUUCAAAACUAUUCUUCCUUCCAAGAGGGCUUUAAAAUUCAAAGCAAAGGAGGGCUGUUAAGGCAGAAAAUGCAUGCUGAGUCUGCUCACAGUGCCAUGCAGUACGGUCGUAUUUACAGAAUCAGUCCAUCUCCCCCAAGCCUGGCUCGAAAUACUCCAGGGGGGAGAAAAAAGGUAUUUCUGAAGAGUAAACAUUAUCAUUAAAAAUGACAGCAAUGGACCUGA